GCCCGCCACGCAUUCAAGGUCCCUUGGCGGCGAUUAUAUACCCUCGAUGCUGCUUCACAGGAUACCCAGCGUGGCCAGAGCUGCUGCUGCUGCUGCUGCGACCCGGCGUGCGGACGUGGGUGCGGCGCGUUUGUCUUUUGUCGACCGCGCGCGUGUGCGCGCAG
rnacentral:snoRNA from 1 species